AGAAAGUACUCCGUUGUGCACGUGCUGGAACAGCACCAAGGAUGGUGACAAUCGCAUUCGUUAGAACAGGAUGCAUUAUUUGAAUUUCUGUGGUUUAUGUGAUAGUUUAUUUCGCAGCCUUGCCGUCGUGAUCAUAACCUAACCAGUAACAGAAGCAGUAACAGUUUGAAUAACUUGAAGCAUGAUUUGAUUGUGUGAAUAGCAAUGAAGCGAUCGGUUGCUAACCGGAUUUGCAGAGUGGCAUUUUUUCGGUGAGUGUGUUGUACAGUAGGCAGUGAGAAAGUUUUCUUGGAUAUGAACUGGUUCAAAAAGCAAAAAUAUGGAAUCAAUGGCUUUCGUAAGAAGAAAAAGAAGAAUUGUUUGAAUUUGUACGUGGUUUAUGCGAUAUUUUGUUCUGCAGGCUUGCCAUUGCCUUGAUCAUAACCCCGCCAGUGGAUAACGCAGUCAUGAGGAAAAGCAGUACUAUAUUUUUAGGAACAACAUCUGCGCCCGAAACAGUGAUAAAAUACUUUGUCAAGUGUAACAAUUUGAAUAACUUGGAACAACGAAAAAUGGAAUCGAAUGGAAUGGAACCGAUGGAAUGUGUAUUCAUUGCUGGCCGCCUAUGAAUCGCCAAUCAAAGUUGCUGAGAUGUUAUAAAUAUUGUGAUCGGAAUUUUGGAAAUCAUGAAGUUUAUGAAUCUAACACGUUACAUUACAUUUGAUCUGCCCGCCACAUAACCUCAGAAUCAUGAAAAGUAUGGAAUCAUCGGCAUUUAUAGGAUUGAAAAUACGCAUUGUUUGCGUAUAUGUGUUGUUUAUCCAAUAAUUUCAUCCGCAACCAUGCUGUUGAGAUCAUAACUUUGCUAAUGAAUAUCGUAACUAAACUAUAAAUGUACCAAAAACAACAAUAAGCCAAGCGGCACAUUGCUGGAAAGCCAUGCAGGGGUUGGACAACGGAAACCCCAUUUUGGUAAACGUAUCCUUGCAGGACGUGUUUCAAACAGUAAGAAACGAUGGAUUGUGUUGUCAAGUGAACUGUUAGUUUCGCUAAGAAAAGUUAUUUGCUGGAAAGGAGCUAGUAGCAUUGGUCGAAUUUGAAUAACUUGUUUGUUUGGAUGGAAUUUAAAUCAUCUGCUUGUAUGAAUCACAGUAACAACUGAACUAUUUGUAAACCGAUGAGUGGAGUGAUUUGUUAAGUGUGUCGUUUAAAAGGGAUGUCUUCGAAGUGCUGCGCGCUGCAGUGCCAUACAGUGUUAUCAAACCCAUCUUGGAGAAACUAUUCAUGCACGUGGAUGUGUUUCAAACAGUAAGCUACGAAGCUGUGUGUUUGUUUAACUAAGGAAAGCUAUAAAUAAGAAAAGCAGCUAGCAAUAACUGAUCAAAUUUGAAUCAUCUGGUUGUUUGAGUAACAAAUAUUUGUUAAGUUUAAAAUUUUGUCGCGGAAUGUCCAGCUAUAGUGUGCCACAAAUAUGAUCAUACAAUUUAGGGAUAUGAAAUAAGUGCUACAGCGUAGAUUACACAGGGUUUUCCUGUCAGAUUUUUUUUUCCAUUCCUAAUUUAGCAAAAGAGUACUUUAAUACUGUUCAGAAAGGAUGUCUUCGAAGUGCUGCGCGGUAAGCUAAUGUUUUACGUGACUCAUCUAUCAAAACAGUGAUAAAUUAUUUUUAAACGGGCAAGGUUGUUUAAUGUUUCUGCGAUGAAGUUUGUUACAUUAACUUAAUUAAUUUCGAUGUAAACUUAACAUUUACAACAUAAUCAAUAGGUUAUUUUGUUUACGAAGAUUAUUGCUGGUAAAUCCAUGAAUAUGUUUUUGUUGGAAUCCGUACACUUUACUGUUUAAAUGAAAAUUGUGUACCGAAGGAGACCCUAAAAUAUGCUUGAAAUACGUCUUCUUGGCAUAACGACCUUGUUGGUCAUGCCUGCCCAUUCAGGGCUUACGAGACUAUUACCUUAAGUAUACGUAGAUAGUCAGUCCUCUCGUACAGGGGAGGGAUUCGAACCCACGCUGUCGAGGUGG